rnacentral:rRNA from 1 species
GACGAACGCUGGCGGCAUGCUUAACACAUGCAAGUCGAACGGGAAGUGGUGUUUUCAGUGGCGGACGGGUGUGGAACGCGUGAGAACCUGCCCUUGGGAGGGGAACAACAGCUGGAAACGGCUGUCAAUACCCCGUAGGCUGUGGAGCAAAAGGAGGAAUGCGCCCGAGGAGGGGCUCGCGUCUGUUUAGCUUGUUGGUGAGGCAAUCGCUUAACAAGGCGAUGAGCAGGAUCGUGUCCGAGAGGAUGAGCAGCCACACUGGGGCUGAGACACGCCGCAGACUCCUGCGGGAGGCAGCAGUGGGGAAUUUACCGCAAUGGGCGAAAGCCUGACGGAGCGAUGCGGCGGGGAGGUAGAAGGCCGACGGGUCCUGAACUUCUUUUCCCAGAGAAGAAACAAUGACGGUAUCGGGUGAAUAAGCACCGGCUAACUCUGUG